rnacentral:rRNA from 1 species
CUUGAGAGCGGCGGACGGGUGAGUAAUGCCUAGGAAUCUGCCUGGUAGUGGGGGAUAACGUCCGGAAACGGACGCUAAUACCGCAUACGUCCUACGGGAGAAAGCAGGGGACCUUCGGGCCUUGCGCUAUCAGAUGAGCCUAGGUCGGAUUAGCUAGUUGGUGGGGUAAUGGCUCACCAAGGCGACGAUCCGUAACUGGUCUGAGAGGAUGAUCAGUCACACUGGAACUGAGACACGGUCCAGACUCCUACGGGAGGCAGCAGUGGGGAAUAUUGGACAAUGGGCGAAAGCCUGAUCCAGCCAUGCCGCGUGUGUGAAGAAGGUCUUCGGAUUGUAAAGCACUUUAAGUUGGGAGGAAGGGCAGUAAAUUAAUACUUUGCUGUUUUGACGUUACCGACAGAAUAAGCACCGGCUAACUCUGUGCCAGCAGCCGCGGUAAUACAGAGGGUGCAAGCGUUAAUCGGAAUUACUGGGCGUAAAGCGCGCGUAGGUGGUUCGUUAAGUUGGAUGUGAAAUCCCCGGGCUCAACCUGGGAACUGCAUUCAAAACUGACGAGCUAGAGUAUGGUAGAGGGUGGUGGAAUUUCCCUGUGUAGCGGUGAAAUGCGUA